rnacentral:rRNA from 1 species
GCCAGACUCCUACGGGAGGCAGCAGUGGGGAAUAUUGCACAAUGGGGGAAACCCUGAUGCAGCGACGCCGCGUGAGUGAAGAAGUAAUUCGUUAUGUAAAGCUCUAUCAGCAGGGAAGAAAAUGACGGUACCUGAGUAAGAAGCCCCGGCUAACUACGUGCCAGCAGCCGCGGUAAUACGUAGGGGGCAAGCGUUAUCCGGAUUUACUGGGUGUAAAGGGAGCGUAGACGGCAGUGCAAGUCUGGAGUGAAAGGCGGGGGCUCAACCCCCGGACUGCUUUGGAAACUGUGUAACUGGAGUACAGGAGGGGCAGGCGGAAUUCCUGGUGUAGCGGUGAAAUGCGUAGAUAUCAGGAGGAACACCGGCGGCGAAGGCGGCCUGCUGGACUGAAACUGACGUUGAGGCUCGAAAGCGUGGGGAGCAAACAGGAUUAGAUACCCCCGUAA